UACGAAGGGUGCAAACGUUGCUCGGAAUUCUUGGGCGUAAAGCGCACGUAGGCGGCUUUGCAAGUCGGAUGUGAAAUCCCUCGGCUCAACCAAGGAAGUGCAUCCGAAACUGCAGAGCUUGAGUACCAAAGAGGAUCGCGGAAUUCCCGGUGUAGAGGUGAAAUUCGUAGAUAUCGGGAGGAACACCAGUGGCGAAGGCGGCGAUCUGGGUGGAUACUGACGCUGAGGUGCGAAAGCGUGGGGAGCAAACAGG
rnacentral:rRNA from 1 species